UGCGUAUUUUGCCCAGGCGGAACUCGACCGCCGGUUCAGGCCAUGACGCGCUUCAUUGAUGAGCACCGGCAGACAUAUGGUGUCGGGUCAAUCUGCAAGAUCCUGCCGAUUGCACCA
rfam:Gluconobacter oxydans 621H, complete genome.